AACGAACGCUGGCGGCAGGCCUAAUACAUGCAAGUCGAACGCUUGUAGCAAUACAAGAGUGGCGCACGGGUGAAUAACACGUGGGAAUAUGCCUUUUGGUACGGGACAACCUCGGGAAACUGAGGCUAAUACCGUAUGGUCCCUUCGGGGUAAAGAUUUAUCGCCAAAAGAUUAGCCCGCGUCUGAUUAGCUAGUUGGUGAGGUAACGGCUCACCAAGGCGACGAUCAGUAGCUGGUCUGAGAGGACGGUCAGCCACACUGGGACUGAGACACGGCCCAGACUCCUACGGGAGGCAGCAGUAGGGAAUAUUGGACAAUGGGCGCAAGCCUGAUCCAGCCACGCCGCGUGAGUGAUGAAGGCCUUCGGGUUGUAAAACUCUUUAGCCCGCGAAUAAAAUGACUGUAGCGGGAAAAUAAGCCCCGGCUAACUUCGUGCCAGCAGCCGCGGUAA
rnacentral:rRNA from 1 species